GAGCAAGUCACACAUGAAGUGUUGUGUUGUUAGCUGCACAGAACAACACAAAUCCUUGCACUUUCUCCCAGCCUAAGAGAACAGAAGAACCGAGUGGCUCCAUUUCAUUUUCGAUGGCCAUGUUCCAGCAACAGUCAGCAAAAAUCUUGUGUGUGCGAACCACUUCAAGACAGACUGCUUUGAAAACCUAGGACAGUACACUGAGGGAUUAGCCAUCAAACUUCGUUUGACAGAGGGAUCUGUACCUACUGUCCGUGGCAAGUCACAAGAUAAGAAACAUACUCUACCUGGCUGCUCUGCAUUACAAUGAGGAUGCUGCAUGAGACCAGGCCACCUUAUCCUCUGGGGACCCUCUCUACAGGAUGCAUUUCCCAAAGUACAGGAAGGGAGAGUGCAGGGUGAAACCCAUCAAAACCGAGACAACAUUCCGGUAUGUGGAAGACUUGAUGGGCUUCAUCAUGGGCGAGGUCUUUGUGGACCAAGAAGCAUACAGGGAGGAACUCCUGAAAAUAAACAUUUCUCCGGACCUGUCCUCAGAGUUUGAGCACCCAGAGAAGGAGGAGGUGAUCGCCAACUAUGUGUCUCGCUUCAAUCCAGGGGAGGCAGUUUGAAGCCCACAUAUUGUCCUUGGCUGUCAGGAAACUCCCGACGAACACGCAGGACCACACAUGACGGGAUGACGACCCUUAUUCUGCAUCCAAGGAAUCCCCAACACCAACUGACAAAACUCCUGUAGGCAAGCUAUCUGUAACGACUAAAAAAAAUAAAUAAAAAAAAAACAUUGCAGUAGUUAGCAGGUUA